rnacentral:rRNA from 1 species
GCUUAGCCUUAAAAAUUGAUAAUACACUACACCUAUUAUCCGCCUGGGCACUACGAGCAUCAGCUUAAAACCCAAAGGACUUGGCGGUGCUUUAGAUCCCCCUAGAGGAGCCUGUCCUAGAACCGAUAAUCCCCGUUAAACCUCACCCCCCCUUGUUCCACCAGCCUAUAUACCGCCGUCGCCAGCUUACCCUGUGAAGGACCUAUAGUAAGCAUAAUUGGUACAACCCAGAACGUCAGGUCGAGGUGUAGCUUAUGGGAGGGAAAGAGAUGGGCUACAUUCCAUAACACAUGAAAUACGAACGAUGUAUUGAAAAACACAUCCGAAGGAGGAUUUAGUAGUAAGUAGAAAAAAGAGUAUUCUACUGAAACCGGCCCUGAAGCGCGU